ACCUACCCUCUCGCCGGAUUCCGUCGUUCCACCCUCUCUAACAUCUAUUCCUGUUCCACCCUCUCUUCGCCAACAAAUUCUCCCCUUCGUCUCUUUCAGAAAGCCCAAACAAAAUAUAUCCACUCCAUUCACAAAAUCCUUUAGUCAACUCCAUUUUACAGUACUUUUUAAUCACCAAUAGCAAACUUCACGCUAUAGCACCAUUAAUACCGUACCACUUCCAUUUCCUGGCUACCCAAAAUUGCUAUUUGUCUUGCAUUGUAGGUUAUUCACCCUAUCCAUGAUCAAACAUUUUACUUGACUGGGGAUCAUAAAAGGAAGCUUAAGGAAAAAUAUGGAAGGAACCAUGGACCUUUUUUCAAAAACUAGGGGACGCAGUUUUCAUACCUGCAGGCUGCCCUUAUCAAGUUAGAAAUCUGAAGGGAAAAAAAAGACCAUAGGAGAUGGUUUGGCCAUGUUCUACCAAAAACUCCAAAUAUCGGUCCUUAACGUGAUAUUACAAUGAGUGAAGUUGUUAAAAUGGGACAUGGUAGAACAAAAUUCACGUUAGAAGAAGUCGUCUCUGAAGUCCUACAGUCUCUGCCAUUUGAGUUGUACGAUUUAUGGAGCUCCUGAUUCAUGCGGGCUUAGGGAAAAAGUUUGCACAAUCCAAAAAGUUGAUACUAACUAGUUGGGAUUAAAGCUUAGUCAUAUGAUACUUUGCGUUAAGUUUUAAUCUGUUUAGAGAUUUGUAUGUUAGUAGAAAAUUAGAGGACUGCUAGUGUGGAGAAACCCAUUUUAUUGUGUAUUUGAAUGGACAUUGAUGAAUCAUAUAGUUGGCUCCAACUAGUUUAUGAUUGAGGUAUAAUUGGAUCAAAAAGGGAAUGAGGUAUAGUUGUCAUUAUUGUUGAUUUGACUGCCUGUACCCUGCAAUAUAUUUCAUGUUCUUGCGUUUUUAAGGAGGUUUGAUUUUCACAUCCUGUUAUUUGGUCGAGUCAUGCAUUCCUCUAUUAUCCAUAAUCAGGUUUUACACUACUUUAUGUCCACUCAUCUUUAUGUUCCUUGGUCCUUGUUUCUUUAGGAGCACAUGUUUGUUCAUAACUUGAUCAUUGAAAGAGAUGAAUUAACUUCUCAUGCUCUUAAGUGUGUGGCUUUUGGUUAUUUUUGCGUUUGAAAGGGAUAUCAUUGCACUUAAAUUCUAGAUUGCCUCUUCAGCAGCUUGGUUAAUUUUUGGUUUCUU